GACGAACGCUGGCGGCGUGCUUAACACAUGCAAGUCGAACGGAAAGGCCCUGCUUUUGUGGGGUGCUCGAGUGGCGAACGGGUGAGUAACACGUGAGUAACCUGCCCUUGACUUUGGGAUAACUUCAGGAAACUGGGGCUAAUACCGGAUAGGAGCUCCUGCUGCAUGGUGGGGGUUGGAAAGUUUCGGCGGUUGGGGAUGGACUCGCGGCUUAUCAGCUUGUUGGUGGGGUAGUGGCUUACCAAGGCUUUGACGGGUAGCCGGCCUGAGAGGGUGACCGGCCACAUUGGGACUGCGAUACGGCCCAGACUCCUACGGGAGGCAGAAGUGGGGAAUAUUGCACAAUGGGCGGAAGCCUGAUGCAGCAACGCCGCGUGCGGUAUGACGGCCUUCGGGUUGUAAACCGCUUUCGCCUGUGACGAAGCGUGAGUGACGGUAAUGGGUAAAGAAGCACCGGCUAACUACGUG
rnacentral:rRNA from 1 species